rnacentral:rRNA from 1 species
UACGUAGGGUGCGAGCGUUAAUCGGAAUUACUGGGCGUAAAGUGUGCGCAGGCGGCAAAGCAAGUCGAGUGUGAAAGCCCCGGGCUUAACUUGGGAAUUGCGCUCGAAACUACUUUGCUGGAGUGUGGCAGAGGGUGGUGGAAUUUCCUGUGUAGCGGUGAAAUGCGUAGAUAUAGGAAGGAACACCAGUGGCGAAGGCGGCUCACUGGCCCGGUACUGACGCUGAGGUGCGAAAGCGGAGGGGAGCAAACUGGGAU